rnacentral:rRNA from 1 species
UAUGUAGGCGGUCUCGCGAGUCGCACGUCAAAGUCCAGCGCUCAACGCUGGGUUCGCGCGCGAUACUGUGGGACUAGAGGGCUGGAGAGGUGAGCGGAAUUCCCGGUGUAGUGGUAAAAUACGUAGAUAUCGGGAGGAACACCAGCGGCGUAGGCGGCUCACUAGACAGUUUCUGACGCUAAGAUACGAAAGCGUGUGGGGCAAACA